AUUGAACGCUGGCGGCAGGCCUAACACAUGCAAGUCGAGCGGAGCGGCGGACGGGUGAGUAAUGCCUAGGAAUCAACCUGGUAGCGGGGGAUAACGUCCGGAAACGAGCGCUAAUACCGUAUACUAUCAGAUGAGCCUAGGUCUGCUUAGCUAGUUGGUGGGGUAAAGGCCUACCAAGGCGACGAUCAGUAACUGGUCUGAGAGGAUGAUCAGUCAAAUUGGAACUGGGACACGGUCAAGAUUCCUACGGGAGGCAGCAGUGGGGAAUAUUGGAAAAUGGGCGAAAGCCUGAUCCAGACAUGCCGCGUGUGUGAAGAAGGUCUUCGGAUUGUAAAGCACUUUAAGUUGGGAGGCGUUACCAACAGAAUAAGCACCGGCUAACGUCGUGCCAGCAGCCGCGGUAAUUC
rnacentral:rRNA from 1 species